CGCGUAGGUGGCGCGGGAAGUCAACGGUGAAAGUUCAGGGCUCAACCCUGAAUCGGCCGUCGAUACUCCCGGGCUUGAGCACUGUAGAGGCAGAUGGAAUUCCGGGUGUAGCGGUGGAAUGCGUAGAGAUCCGGAAGAACACCGGUGGCGAAGGCGGUCUGCUGGGCAGUUGCUGACACUGAUGCGCGACAGCGUGGGGAGCAAACA
rnacentral:rRNA from 1 species